rnacentral:rRNA from 1 species
AAUAGCUCACUGGUCGAGUGAUCCUGCGCCGAAGAUUUCCGGGGCUAAAACUUACUACCGAAGCUACGGCAUCAGUAAUGAGGGGUAGGGGAGCUUCCCAUACGGGUUGAAGCAUGACCGUAAGGACCUGUGGACAGUAUGGGAGUGAGAAUGUUGGCAUGAGUAGCGAGAUGUGGGUGAGAAUCCCACAGGCCGUAAACCCAAGGUUU